AUCAGUAACAAUUAAGUCUUCAUAAUUCAACUAAAAAACCAAACUGAAAAACAAAAUAUUAAUUGAAUAUUGGAAAUAUAAUUGGAAAGCUCGACAGCCCGUAGCGAGCAUUUUCAAAGAACCACCAGCCAUGAUGCCCAGCAGGUUCGACCAAGUACGUCAGAAGUUACUAAAACGGGAGUUACAGUUUUCUAAAACCACUGAAGCAAACUCAAAAUGCAAGCAUUAUUUGCGAUGUUUACCUCGGUACAUAAUAAUGUGUCACUUACUUGUAUUCGCACCUUUCCCUGCUCUGCAUCAAGAUGAAAAAAGCUAUGCGUGUAUACGUUUUGACUCUACUAUUCAUACAUCAAUAUCAG